AUUGAACGCUGGCGGCAUGCCUUACACAUGCAAGUCGAACGGCAGCACGGGGGCAACCCUGGUGGCGAGUGGCGAACGGGUGAGUAACAUAUCGGAACAUACCCUAGAGUGGGGGAUAACGUAGCGAAAGUUACGCUAAUACCGCAUACGAUCUAAGGAUGAAAGUGGGGGAUCUUCGGACCUCAUGCUCAUGGAGUGGCCGAUAUCUGAUUAGCUAGUUGGUGAGGUAAAGGCUCACCAAGGCGACGAUCAGUAGCUGGUUUGAGAGAACGACCAGCCACACUGGAACUGAGACACGGUCCAGACUCCUACGGGAGGCAGCAGUGGGGAAUUUGGGGACAAUGGGGGCAACCCUGAUCCAGCAAUGCCGCGUGAGUGAAGAAGGCCUC
rnacentral:rRNA from 1 species